rnacentral:tRNA from 1 species
GGCUCUGUGGUGCAACGGAUGGUGUGUUGGACUUCUAAUUCAAAGGUUGUGGGGUCCAGUCCCACCAGAGUCA